CAGUAUGAUGACGUAGAUGCAGAGGGA
rnacentral:piRNA from 1 species